rnacentral:rRNA from 1 species
UGCUUCGGAUUGAGAUUUAGCCUGCGAGUCGAACGCCUUCCUGUUCCGGGAGGCGUGGCGUACGGCUCAGUAACACGUAGUCAACCUGCCCUAGAGACAUGAAUAACCCCGGGAAACUGGGAUUAAUACAUGAUAGAUCAUCUCAUCUGGAAGGAGAGAUGGUUUAAAGGGGUGCGCGAGCUUCUUUUGUGCAUCCGCUCUAGGAUGGGACUGCGGCCGAUCAGGCUGUUGGUGGGGUAAUGGCCCACCAAACCUGUAACCGGUACGGGCCUUGAGAGAGGGGGCCCGGAGAUGGACACUGAGAGAAGGGUCCAGGUCCUACGGGGCGCAGCAGGCGCGAAACCUUCGCAAUGCGCGAAAGCGUGCCGAGGUUAAUCCGAGUGGUUCCCGCUGAGGGAAUCUUUUGUUGGCUCUAAAAUGGCCAGUGAAUAAGGGGAGGGCAAGUCUGGUGUCAGCCGCCGCGGUAAUACCAGCUCCUCGAGUGGUCGGGGCGACUAUUGGGCCUAAAGCAUCCGUAGCCUGUUCUGUAGGUCUUCUGUUAAAUCCAACGGCUUAACCGUUGGCCUGCAGAAGAUACCGCAGGACUAGGAGGCGGGAGAGGUGGACGGUACUCCACGUGUAGGGGUAAAAUCCUUUGAUCCGUGGAAGACCACCAAUGGCGAAGGCGGUCCACCAGAACGCGCUCGACGGUGAGGGAUGAAAGCUUGGGGGAGCGAACCGGAUUAGAUACCCCGGUAGUCCAGCCGUAAACGAUGCGAGCUAGAUGAUCCAAUCGCAAAUCGCGAUUGGUGUGUCGCAGGGAAGCCCGUUAAAC